GAUGAACGCUGGCGGCGUGCCUAAUACAUGCAAGUCGAGCGAACAGACGAGGAGCUUGCUCCUUUGACGUUAGCGGCGGACGGGUGAGUAACACGUAGGUAACCUACCUAUAAGACUGGGAUAACUUCGGGAAACCGGGGCUAAUACCGGAUAAUAUUUCGAACCGCAUGGUUCGAUAGUGAAAGAUGGCUUUACUAUCACUUAUAGAUGGACCUGCGCCGUAUUAGCUAGUUGGUAAGGUAACGGCUUACCAAGGCAACGAUACGUAGCCGACCUGAGAGGGUGAUCGGCCACACUGGAACUGAGACACGGUCCAGACUCCUACGGGAGGCAGCAGUAGGGAAUCUUCCGCAAUGGGCGAAAGCCUGACGGAGCAACGCCGCGUGAGUGAUGAAGGUCUUCGGAUCGUAAAACUCUGUUAUUAGGGAAGAACAAACGUGUAAGUAACUGUGCACGUCUUGACGGUACCUAAUCAGAAAGCCACGGCUAACUACGUG
rnacentral:rRNA from 1 species